AGUGAACGCUGGCGGUAGGCCUAACACAUGCAAGUCGAACGGCAGCACAGUAAGAGCUUGCUCUUACGGGUGGCGAGUGGCGGACGGGUGAGGAAUACAUCGGAAUCUACUUUUUCGUGGGGGAUAACGUAGGGAAACUUACGCUAAUACCGCAUACGACCUACGGGUGAAAGCAGGGGAUCUUCGGACCUUGCGCGAUUGAAUGAGCCGAUGUCGGAUUAGCUAGUUGGCGGGGUAAAGGCCCACCAAGGCGACGAUCCGUAGCUGGUCUGAGAGGAUGAUCAGCCACACUGGAACUGAGACACGGUCCAGACUCCUACGGGAGGCAGCAGUGGGGAAUAUUGGACAAUGGGCGCAAGCCUGAUCCAGCCAUACCGCGUGGGUGAAGAAGGCCUUCAGGUUGUAAAGCCCUUUUGUUGGGAAAGAAAAGCAGCAGGUUAAUACCCCGCUGUUCUGGCGGUACCCAAAGAAUAAGCACCGGCUAACUUCGUG
rnacentral:rRNA from 1 species